rnacentral:rRNA from 1 species
UACGGGGGGGCAAGCGUUGUUCGGAAUUACUGGGCGUAAAGGGCUCGUAGGCGGCCAACUAAGUCAGACGUGAAAUCCCUCGGCUUAACCGGGGAACUGCAUCUGAUACUGGAUGGGCUUGAGUUGGGAGAGGGAUGCGGAAUUCCAGGUGUAGCGGUGAAAUGCGUAGAUAUCUGGAGGAACACCGGUGGCGAAGGCGGCAUCCUGGGACCAACACUGACGCUGAGGAGCGAAAGCCAGGGGAGCA